UGAUCUAUACAGUUAUAAAUACAGGAUCAUUUUAAACUCUCCUUCAGGAUAAGGUUUAAACACACACACACACACACACACACACAAAGUGACUGAUAGCACCGGCUCGGAUCAGACUGUUGACAAAUCACUGUGAAAUUUGCCUUGGGCCUACAUCAUGUAUGCCAGAGAAAUUCACAGGAAUGAUUAGGGAAAGAGGAAGUGACAUCAUUGACCUCCAGGGAAGCCAUGUUGAAAAGCUGUGUGGUCAAGGUAUGUGGAGUGAAUCAUUGCUGUGUGGUGACCUCUGUGGCUCCAGCCACUCAGAUUUCCAUGGCAGAGCAUGGGCACAGCUUUGGGAAUUCUGACCGCCUGUAUGAGAGACAAAGACACCCACAGCUGCAGCAACCACAAAAACACUCUGGGCGUCCCCUUCUCAGGCCUGAUAUCAGAAAGACAGAGGCUGUAUGGAUAGAUGGAAUUGGAGUUCACCAGAAUGGUAUUGUAUCCUCCUAACGGAAGACAAGAUUUGGCAUAGGCGUUCCUUCUCAUAACCAGACUUCCUAAACAGAGAUGGUUCAGCCAAAGGAGACAUUUCUACUCACCUGGAACAAGGUAACUGAGGGCGGUGACCCCGGCAGCACGCAGAGACGUCAGAAGCCCGAGGCGUGUCCGCCCCUCCCUGAGUAUCUUCCAUUGUUUGCUCAAUGCCUGUCGGUUCGAGGAGAUUCCUUGUGCCAUAAUGGGCUAUUAUUUGUGCUCAAGCUCUAUUCAAGCCAUAAUGACUUACGCCAGUUUUCCCGGCCCCUGGAGACCUGCAUGCGUAUGGUGCACAACUCAGGAGAAGAGAUAGCCUUUGUACUCGCCUUUUACAGGCUGAUCUAAGAGUAUUUCUUUCUCUCUCUUUCUUCUCCCUUCUGCACGUAUGGACAAAGACAAGCUAAAAUUCACCAAUCAAAAG
ensembl:lncRNA